UGUGGGAGCGAGCCUGCUCGCGAUGAGGUCGUCAUAUACAACAUUUAUGUUGACUGUCACGCCGCCAUCGCGAGCAGGCUCGCUCCCACA
rnacentral:antisense_RNA from 1 species